UACAGAGGGUGCGAGCGUUGUUCGGAAUUAUUGGGCGUAAAGAGCUCGUAGGCGGUUUGUCGCGUCUGCUGUGAAAACUCGGGGCUUAACCCGGCCUGCAGUGGGUACGGGCAGACUAGAGUGCGGUAGGGGAGACUGGAAUUCCUGGUGUAGCGGUGAAAUGCGCAGAUAUCAGGAGGAACACCGGUGGCGAAGGCGGGUCUCUGGGCCGUAACUGACGCUGAGGAGCGAAAGCGUGGGGAGCGAACAGG
rnacentral:rRNA from 1 species